AGCAAAUAGAAAUGGAAAUCCAAGGCUCAAGAGGCAUCUGUAAGUUUGAGAAAGUUUGCUAUUUCAUUUAAACAGCAAAUUAAAUAUAUUUUGUAAGGUUAGCAGAAACAGCUCUUUUUAAAAUGAUAUUCAUAAUUUCUAUUCUAAGAAAAGAAAUCACUAGCGAGUGUGUAUACACACACAGAGGAAUGAGGAAGCAGUGAAAUUAAAAUUUUUUAAAAAACCAACCUUUACAUCAAUUGGCGUAUCUCAUGCAGAGAACCUUUAAAUUGAACCUAGGCACUCCCAAAAAGAAAAUCAAUCAAGAGUGGUAUCUUCUUAUAGGUUAAAAAGACAUUCAAUAUUCAUAGAAUUGCUUAUCUGCAGAACUUUAUUUAUUUAUUUUUUUGAGACAGAGUCUCGCUCUGUCACCCGGGCUGUAGCGCAGUGGUGCAAUCUCCGCUCACUGCAGGCUCCGCCUCCCGGGUUCACGCCACUCUCACGCCUCAGCCUCCCGAGUAGCUGGGACUGCAGUGCCGGCCACCAUGCCCGGCUAAUUUUUUGUUUUUGUAUUUUUAGUAGAGACAGGGUUUCACCGUGUUAGCCAGGAUGGUCUCGAUCUCCUGACUUCGUGAUCUCCCCGCCUCGGCCUCCCAAAGUGCUGGGAUUACAGGCGUGAGCCACCGCGCCCGGCCAAAACUUUAAAGAUAAGUAUACUCGUUAUUAGUUAUCCCACAAGUUCAGGAAUACUUUGAGAAUAUAUUCCAAUUUUUGCAAUUCUUAUUUCUUAUUAAUUUACGAGGGGAAGUUAAACCUUUUUAGCAGAAGUGGUAGUUCCAGAAACAUCUGGUGUUUAUAAACAGCAGCUUGUGGGUGGAGACUAUGUCUCCCUAAUUUGUCAGCAGUUCAAUGCUGCAUUGAUAGACAAAUUGAAGUGGCCUAAAAGCUAGAACUUUGAGAAUUAUGUUAGCCUAGUUGAGCUUUGGAUCCAUUGUUCUGGAGUAUUGAUUUUCUUUUCCCAGGGAUCUUAAUUUAGUUUAGUUUUAGUUUUCAAUAAAUUAUUUGUUCAUUCAUAUAAUGGUGCUUUGAGAGAGGAUUUGAUAUAACGUUUCAGGAUCUAUUCAAAGGCUCAGACCGAGCAGGAACAAAACACUGCUACAAGGACUUCCUCUAGACACACCUCUUUUCAUCUCUGCAGCAAUUCACUUUUCACACUAUGGACUGGACUCCCUUUGAGUAACCAAUAAAUCACAAAAGGUGUGUGUAAACUGUUUUUGCUUCAGUCAUACUUGACUGUUUUAUUAGGCAUAGAUCCAAGUGUAGGCUACAAUCAUGAUUUUUUUUUUUUUUGAGAUGGAGUGUUGCUCUUGUUGCCCAAGCUGGAGUGCAAUGGUGCAAUCUCGGCUCACUGCAACCUCGACAUCCGUCUCCUGGUUUCAAGCGAUUCUCCUGUAGCUGGGAUUACAGGUGCCCGCCACCAAGCCCAGCUAAUUUUUGUACUUUUAGUAGAUACGGGGUUUUGCCCUGUUGGUCAGGCUGAUCUUGAACUCCUGACCUCAGGUGAUCCGCCCACCUCGGCCUCCCAAAGUGCUGGGAUUACAGGCAUGAGCCACUGCACCCAGCCUUACAAUCAUGAUUUUUUAAAUCUUAAAUUUCAUCUCCUAAUUUAAGAUUUCAUCUCCUUUGAAUAAAAUAAAAUCUCAGCUACUGGAGUACAUUAAUUAAUGCACCACUUCAUACACAUAACAGUUUCCCAUGUCAGUCUGAGAUCUGACUUACAUUUUCCUUCAAAACACUUUCCAUUUUUUUCAAAAUUUAAUUAUCUAUGGAGCAGCUAAAUCUCUCUGCUCAAAAGACCAUUAGUAGAAUGUCAAUGUAAUUUACAGAGGUGUUAACAAGAUAGCAUACCUUACACUCUGGUUUCAGAUUGAAUUUAAAUAUUUAUUGAAUUUAAAUAUUGGUUUUAUUAAUUACCAGCUGUAGGACUGUGCCUCAGUUUCCUCUUUUUUUUUGGGGAGACAGGGUCUCACUCCGUCACCCAGGCUGGAGUACAGUGGUGCUAUCAUCGCUCACUGCAGCCUCUACCUCCUGAGCUCAGGCAAUCCUCCCACUCAGCCUCCUGAGCAGCUGGGACUACAGGCACGCACCACCAUGCCCUGCUAAUUUCGUUUAUUUUUUUUUUUGUAGAGAUGAGGUCUUGCUAUGUUGCCCAGGCUGGUCUCAAACUCCUAGACUCAAGUGAUCCUCCUGCCUCAGCCUCCCAAAUUGCUGGGAUUAUA
rnacentral:lncRNA from 10 species